GAAAUCAAAGAAAUGAAAAGGACUGGGAAAGCAAAUAUCCUGAAGAACUCGAAAUGGCUAGAGUCUCUGGAAGGGAAAGAGGAAGGAUUUACCUGUGCCAGCCCGGUGAAGAGAAGAGUGGAACAGAGGAGCCCCUGCAUGUCGCUGGGAUGCAGCUGGCCUGAGAGAUGGGAAAGUGGGGGCUCCUCAUGCUGGGGACACACAAAGCUUCCCUGUCUUCUCUGAAGGAGCCGCCUCCACCUCCGGGCACUGGCUUCCACACUGGCUUUCCUUUCAGUACCCUGCUUACUUUCAUGUGUCUCUUCCAGAAAUACCUUCACAGCUAGGAUGAAGUGUGUCAGGAGAGAGCCAGGGCUUUCCUCCAGGGAUUCAAGGGCAGAUCCAGCGAUGGCUUUUCUUUAAGUAAAUGUGCUCCCUUUUCCGGAGAUCAGAGUCUGCCCUUGGGCAAAAUGGAGGCAUUACUUUCCAUUCCUGGCCCUCUGCCUCUCCUCUGUGAUUUCCCUGCUCCAGCUCCUCUCUGGGCUGCUUUCCUUCCUCCUUUGCCCUCAAGCAGAGGGCUAGCCUGGUCUCUCCGCUUCCUGCCUCAUCACAGCCUGGCCCUGUUGAUGGGUUUCUCACUUCCCAUCAACAACCAAUUUCUAAAAGGCCAUUUCUGAUUCGCCAGCUGUUGACUUUCGGACGUUUCCACAUGCUCUCCAUUAAACACAUUCCUCACACCAGGUGGACCAUGAUUGGAAAGGAAAAACCCAGCCUGAGAAAAGCUACUUUCUGUGGCCACAAUUCCAUGGCAAAUAAAAGUAAAGCUAACUCCAAUCUUUCCAAGCCUAUGAUCAAACAUUUGUGCUAGUAACAGUCAUUUGGAUUAAAGUUUUGUUUUAAAAACUUA